GAUGAAGAACGUAGCGAAAUGCGAUAAGUAAUGUGAAUUGCAGAAUUCAGUGAAUCAUCGAAUCUUUGAACGCACCUUGCACUCCUUGGUAUUCCGAGGAGUACGCCUGUUCGAGUGUUAUGAAGCUCUCAAAACGCAAUUGGCUUAAAACCUGAUUGUUGUUUUGGAUUUGAACUUUGCCGUGUUACAACGGCUGGUUUUAAAAGCAUUAGCUGGUACUAGAACGAAUUGGUUCUACUCAACGUGAUAAUUAUCUGAUCGUUGAGGGCAUUCCUUUCACGAGGAAUGGCCAUAGUAAAUUCAAUGGACUGCUUCUAACUUGGCUUUAAUUCUUAAUUGGAUUAACCACUUUUCAAAUCUGACCUCGAAUCAGGUGGGACUACCCGCUGAACUUAAGCAUAUCAAUAAGCGGAGGA
rnacentral:misc_RNA from 1 species